AUUGAACGCUGGCGGCAGGCUUAACACAUGCAAGUCGAGCGGAGAUGAGGUGCUUGCACCUUAUCUUAGCGGCGGACGGGUGAGUAAUGCUUAGGAAUCUGCCUAUUAGUGGGGGACAACAUUCCGAAAGGAAUGCUAAUACCGCAUACGUCCUACGGGAGAAAGCAGGGGAUCUUCGGACCUUGCGCUAAUAGAUGAGCCUAAGUCGGAUUAGCUAGUUGGUGGGGCAAAGGCCUACCAAGGCGACGAUCUGUAGCGGGUCUGAGAGGAUGAUCCGCCACACUGGGACUGAGACACGGCCCAGACUCCUACGGGAGGCAGCAGUGGGGAAUAUUGGACAAUGGAGGGAACCCUGAUCCAGCCAUGCCGCGUGUGUGAAGAAGGCCUUAUGGUUGUAAAGCACUUUAAGCGAGGAGGAGGCUACUGAGACUAAUACUCUUGGAUAGUGGACGUUACUCGCAGAAUAAGCACCGGCUAACUCUGUGCCAGCCGCCGCGGUAACAC
rnacentral:rRNA from 1 species